GAGUCCUUGAGCAGUUCCUUGUUACAUGAGGACACGAGACGAUGAAUAACAAGUGAAAGAAUAAACACCUAGAAUUAAACGUUAGUGUAAUGAACAAGAAUCAGGUCUGGGAUGACCUCAGAUGAAGUCUGUGGGGGAAUCCACCCAGCUGAGCUGCUGGACUCAGAACCAACGGUGGAGAGAAACACAGGUCCCAUGGUCCACUGUGGAGUGCAUGUGUCAGAGCUGGGCCUCCUCAGUGGCUCAGA